GGUUGGCUUUGUGUGUGUGUGUGUAUGUGUGAUGUGGUGGUGUGUGGAUCUGUUUUGUUGGGUUUUCUCCUUGUUUAUUUAUCGAUUUGGUAUGGUGUUGGCCCUGGGAAUACAAUCAAAAAUUGUUUAAUCUUUCUAAAAAAUCUAUUCUACAAUGUAUUUCAGCUCAGUUACACUUUCCUGAAUGAUAAAUUAAAACACUGUGGAGUUCUAAACAAGCUGAAAGCUCCCCCUGCUGUUUCAGAGCGCUAGGAGAUGACUCAUGCCUUUGGAUUUUUUUAUUUGAAAGACAAAAUCAGAAGCUUAAAAUGAGCUAAUGGUCAAAAAAUGUUUAUUUCAGUGAUGACAUUUUCAGCUGAUGAAAGGCAGAAUAUGUGUGCAUUAGUAUUCACUUACUGUAAGAAUCAUUACAGAUAGAAAGAAGCUCCUUUAGUUAAACUAAAUGAGGAAAAAUGUUAACUAUAAAAUCCUUUUUUUGAAUUGCACCACUACUUAAUAUAGGAAGAAAUAUUCAAGGUAUUUGAGUCACACUUUACCCUUUAUUGUUAAGGUUAUACAUAUAUUCUGGUUAAAGUCAAUUAGCAUUCUCUGAAGAUUACACUUUUGAUAGUAUUGGGUAGUUUAUUGUAGCAAUACUAUAUUCUAUAAAUGGUGCUCUGACACAAUCUGUCUUAGCUACUGUGUUGAAGGAAAACAUACAUAUCUGAGAUAGAUGCCUUUUGUUCUUCAUAUUAACAAUGGGCUCCUAUUAUCCAUAAAAUCCAAAAGUCAGUUGGUGGAGGGAUAGGUACAGCUGAAGGGCAUAUUUUUAGCCAGAUUUUUAUUUAAGGAGAAUACCAACAUUAUUUUGCAAUUUAUUAUACAAAAAGCAUACUGUGCUUGGACUAGGUUGCAAAUUACACUUGUGCAAUACAACAUAAACCAGAGAAAUUGUGUUGAUGAGAAUGAGAGGAAACCAUCUGAAUUGUAUGCAGAGAGAAGAAACAAAGUGGAUCUUCAAUACUUUUUCUAAUUCCUGUAUCGUGUUUCUGAUGACUUUCACAGGGGGAGUAGCAUCACAAUUCUUACUUUUCCUGUUUUUUAUUCUCCUUGAAAUGCUGAUCACACAUCACCAUCUUGACAUGUCAGCCAAACAUGUAACAGGAUAUUCAGGCAUUCCUGGGAACGGGGACCUGUGGUCACAGCUUUCUGCUGCUCCUUCCUCCUCACACUUUAUCCAGCUCCAGUGCGAGACCUCUCCAGAGGCUGCAGUACUUUGGGAUAAACUUGCUCCAGUGCGGGUUUUCCACAGUCUGCAGUGUUCCAGGAAAUAUUCCCCGUGUCUGGUGUUGAGCGGUCCCUGUGGCCGCAGGGACAGCGCAGCCGGGCCGGGCUCUGUGCCAGGCCGCAGGGCCAUCCCUGCCGGGCCUCUCCUGCCCCGUCCCUGCUCCCGCUGUCCCCUCGGGGCUCGCAGCGCUGUUUCUCGCUCGCUUCCCCUGGCUCAGCCCUGGCUGCCGGGCAGCGUUUUGCCCUCCCUUGGCCAGGCUUUCCCCGGGGCUGAGGGGCUCAGCCGUGCCCUGCGCUGGGGCCGCUGCAGCCGCCGGCACCGCCUGGGGCCGGCCCGGGCAGCAGAUGAGUUGUAGUGCUCACACCAUCCCUCUGGUCAGCUGCCAGCCACCCCAGUGAUGUCCCCUUCCAACCUCCUGUGUAUCCCGGACUACUCACUUUGAGCAGGUUUUGCAUUUAUAUAUGAAUAUACAUGCAUUUAUAUAUGAACAGAGAUGAACAAAGGGCAAAUUGGAGUUAAUAUUUUGAUGGAUCUGCAAGGCAAGAAGAAUGAAACACUCUAACUUUCAUGAGAGAAAAAUAAGCUCCAGAAACAGUGACAUGACAUAUAUUUAUAUAGUCAUUAAAAUACACCAGUUAAAGCUCCUGCCUCUGACAUGUUGAUCAAAAGGUUGAGAGAAAAAAGCCUGAUCAAUCAUAUUACCAUUAGUUCAUUUCCAGAAAUAGCAGUGCAAGGAAUGAAUGAAUAUUGACUAAUGAAGGCAAGAACUGUUGCUUGCAUGACAUAAGUAUGAUUCUGCAUUAUAUAAACAAGCUUAUUUCUGCAACAGAGUUUGUUAAAGGGAAAUGUGUAACUAAAAAUUCUGUAAACUA